AUUGAACGCUGGCGGCAUGCUUUACACAUGCAAGUCGAACGGCAGCGCGGGCUUCGGCCUGGCGGCGAGUGGCGAAUGGGUGAGUAAUGCAUCGGAACGUGCCCAGUAGUGGGGGAUAGCCCGGCGAAAGCCGGAUUAAUACCGCAUACGACCUGAGGGUGAAGGCGGGGGACCGAAAGGCCUCGCGCUAUUGGAGCGGCCGAUGUCGGAUUAGCUAGUUGGUGGGGUAAAGGCUUACCAAGGCGACGAUCCGUAGCUGGUCUGAGAGGACGACCAGCCACACUGGGACUGAGACACGGCCCAGACUCCUACGGGAGGCAGCAGUGGGGAAUUUUGGACAAUGGGGGCAACCCUGAUCCAGCCAUGCCGCGUGCGGGAAGAAGGCCUUCGGGUUGUAAACCGCUUUUGUUCGGGAAGAAAUACUCUGGGCUAAUACCCCGGGGGGAUGACGGUACCGGAAGAAUAAGCACCGGCUAACUACGUG
rnacentral:rRNA from 1 species